GCACCAAUAGUCUAGUAGUAGAAUAGUAUUUUGUCACAGUACAGACCCCGGUUCGAUUCCCAGAUGGUGCA
rfam:Nicotiana attenuata strain TT chromosome 5, whole genome shotgun sequence.